rnacentral:rRNA from 1 species
AUGUGUUUAGCACCCACCACGUCGUCGAAGCCGGCCAAGUCGGGUGGAGGCAAGCAGAAGAAGUGGAGCAAGGGCAAGCAAAAGGAGAAGGUGAACAACACGGUGAUCUUCGACCAGGCCACCUACGACAAGCUGCUCACCAAGGUGCCCAAGUACAAGCAGAUCACGCCCUCUGUCCUGUCCGAGCGACUCAGGAUCAACGGGUCGCUGGCUCGCAGGGCCAUCAAGGACCUAACGGGGAGGGGACUCAUCAGGAUGGUGUCAAUCUAG